rnacentral:rRNA from 1 species
UACGUAGGGGCCAAGCGUUGUCCGGAAUCAUUGGGCGUAAAGGGCGUGUAGGCGGUCUGAUAAGUCAGAUGUUAAAUCUACGAGCUCAACUCGUAGCCGCAUCUGAUACUGUCAGGCUAGAGAAUGGUAGAGGAAAGCGGAACUUCCGGUGUAGCGGUGAAAUGCGUAGAUAUCGGAAGGAACACCAGUGGCGAAGGCGGCUUUCUGGGCCAUUUCUGACGAUGAGACGCGAAAGCUAGGGGAGCGAACGGG